rnacentral:rRNA from 1 species
CAAUAGCGUAUAUUAAAGUUGUUGCAGUUAAAAAGCUCGUAGUUGGAUUUCUGGUUGGAGCGACCGGUCGGGCAUUGAUUUGUCUGCACUGGAGUCGGUUCUGGCCAUCCUCUUGGAAAGUGCGUCUGUCAUUAAGUUGUCGGGCGUAUGAUCCAGGUCUUUUACUGUGAAAAAAUUAGAGUGUUUAAAGCAGGCCUUCGCCUUGAAUACAUUAGCAUGGAAUAAUAAGAUAGGACUUUGGUCUAUUUUGUUGGUUUGCAGACCGAAGUAAUGAUUAAUAGGGAUAGUUGGGGGUAUUUAUAUUCCAAUGUCAGAGGCGAAAUUCUUAGAUUUUUGGAAGAUAAACUUAUGCGAAANCANNNACCAAGGAUGUUUUCAUNAA